rnacentral:rRNA from 1 species
CAGUCGCCACGGUAAUACGGAGGGGGCUAGCGUUGUUCGGAAUUACUGGGCGUAAAGCGCACGUAGGCGGCUUGGUAAGUUAGAGGUGAAAGCCCGGAGCUCAACUCCGGAAUUGCUUUUAAGACUGCCGAGCUAGUAGGUGAGAGAGGUAAGUGGAAUUCCGAGUGUAGAGGUGAAAUUCGUAGAUAUUCGGAAGAACACCAGUGGCGAAGGCGGCUUACUGGCUCAUUCUAGACGCUGAGGUGCGAAAGCGUGGGGAGCAAACAGGAUUAGAUACCCCUGUAGUCCCUGUCUCUUAUAC